UACGGGGGGGGCAAGCGUUGUUCGGAAUUACUGGGCGUAAAGGGCGCGUAGGCGGACCGCCAAGUCCGAGGUGAAAUCCUCCAGCUCAACUGGAGAACUGCCUCGGAUACUGGAGGUCUCGAGGGAGGUAGGGGCAAGCGGAACUGUGGGUGGAGCGGUGAAAUGCGUUGAUAUCCACAGGAACUCCGGUGGCGAAGGCGGCUUGCUGGACCUUUUCUGACGCUGAGGCGCGAAAGCCAGGGGAGCAAACGGG
rnacentral:rRNA from 1 species